rnacentral:rRNA from 1 species
CCUACGGGAGGCAGCAGUGGGGAAUUUUGGACAAUGGGCGAAAGCCUGAUCCAGCAAUGCCGCGUGAGUGAAGAAGGCCUUCGGGUUGUAAAGCUCUUUUGUCAGGGAAGAAACGGUGGGAGCUAAUAUCUCCUGCUAAUGACGGUACCUGAAGAAUAAGCACCGGCUAACUACGUGCCAGCAGCCGCGGUAAUACGUAGGGUGCAAGCGUUAAUCGGAAUUACUGGGCGUAAAGCGUGCGCAGGCGGUUUUGUAAGUCUGAUGUGAAAUCCCCGGGCUCAACCUGGGAAUUGCAUUGGAGACUGCAAGGCUAGAAUCUGGCAGAGGGGGGUAGAAUUCCACGUGUAGCAGUGAAAUGCGUAGAUAUGUGGAGGAACACCGAUGGCGAAGGCAGCCCCCUGGGUCAAGAUUGACGCUCAUGCACGAAAGCGUGGGGAGCAAACAGGAUUAGAUACCCUGGUAGUCCACGCCCUAAACGAUGUCUACUAGUUGUCGGGUCUUAAUUGACUUGGUAACGCAGCUAACGCGUGAAGUAGACCGCCUGGGGAGUACGGUCGCAAGAUUAAAACUCAAAGGAAUUGACGG